rnacentral:rRNA from 1 species
UACGUAGGGUGCAAGCGUUAAUCGGAAUUACUGGGCGUAAAGCGUGCGCAGGCGGUUGUGCAAGACAGAUGUGAAAUCCCCGGGCUCAACCUGGGAACUGCAUUUGUGACUGCACGGCUGGAGUGCGGCAGAGGGGGAUGGAAUUCCGCGUGUAGCAGUGAAAUGCGUAGAGAUCCGGAGGAACACCAGCGGCGAAGGCGGCAUCCUGGACUGGUCCUGACACUCAUGAGCGAAAGCGUGGGGAGCGAACAGG